rnacentral:lncRNA from 1 species
UACAAUUCAAGUAAUCACUGUGAUGUGAAAGAAUACACAGCCCUUUCCUGCAGGUGCUGGUGUUAAGUGCCAUUAUCCGCAUAGCUGUGGUGGGAGCCAGUGAGCUACUGAAGAAAGCCAUGGGGUUUGGGGUCAAAUGAUGGUGCCAGACUCAGCUGUCUUCUGUUACAGCUGUGCAGAUUUCAGUGAACCGAACCACGUUGCCUUCUUGCUGACCAGCCUUUCUUAUGUAAAAUGGGAUCAUAAUGGCCGCCUGGAGCUUCAAAGGAGAUUACUAUUUAGAUGGAGAAGCACGAUGGUCAUGCCUGGUGAACACUUAUGCAGGUUGGAGGCAAUGAGCUACCUUCAGUUGGUCUGCUUAUGUGUAACAAGUGGUUUGUGAGAACCCCAAGGCACAAAGAGACAUGUGGUGAGUUUCCACUCCUGUUUCUCCUUAGAUAUAAACUUCCAGCUGUUUUUCCCCUCCUGAAGUGUUGACUUAAUUUAAAAUAGUUAGAUUGAAGUAAGCCAUCUAGGGCACUUUAAAAUGAGGAUAAGAGCAUGGAUGGUAGACAUGGGGUAGCGACGGAGAGGGAACUGGCAAUAUGACA